GAUGACUAUGGAUAGACGAGGCCAAAUAUAUUUCAUUCCUUGGAUUGUUGAUCGACAUUGGAUGUUGGUGCUCGUGAUGAUGCGGGGGAUGACCAUAAUUUUGGACCCUUUAAAAAAUCAUAAAUCUCCACCAAUAAUUACGGAGGUUAUGGAAAAAGCAUACGCACAAUGUUUGGAAAAUGAAUACAUCGGCACAUUUACAAAAUUGGUGAGAGGUUCUUGUCCAAAACAACCUGAAAGUCAUGAAUGUGGUUAUUAUGUACUAAGAUACAUUUAUGAUCUUGUAAAUGCACCGAAUCCAGCAGA